rnacentral:lncRNA from 1 species
UUUUUUUUUUUUUUUUUUUGGUCUUUUUGCCAUUUCUUGGGCUGCUCUCGCGGCAUAUGGAGGUUCCCAGGCUAGGGGUCGAAUCGGAGCUGUAGUCGCCAACCUACGCCAGAACCACAGCAAUGCAGGAUGUGAGCCGUGUCUGCAACCUACACCACAGCUCAUGGCAACGCUGGAUCCCCAAUCCACUGAGCAAGGCCAGGGAUCGGCCCUGCAACCUCAUGGUUCCUAGUCAGAUACGUUAACCACUGAGCCACGAUGGGAACUCCUAUUAUUAGUCUUUUUAGGUCCUCACCUGCGACAUAUGGAAGUUCCAGGCUAGGGGUCAAAUCAGAGAUGCAGCUGCUAGCCUACACCACAGCCACAGCAAUGCAGAAUCCUUAACCGACUGAUCAAGGCCAGAGAUUGAACCUGCAUCCUCAUGGAUACUAGUUGGGUUCAAUACCACAGAUCCACAACGGGAAAUCCAAGGUGGACAUUAUUGGAUCAAGGCAAUCAGACAGUUUGACAGUCCCAUCCCUGGAUAUGUCAUAUGAGAUAAUAACUUUUAUUGUUUGGGACGGUUGCUUGUUUGUUUUUUGGCCAUGCCUGUGGCAUGCGGGAAGUUUCUGGGCCAGGGAUCAAACCCAUACCACAGCAGCAACAAUUCUGGAUCCUUGAUCCACUGAGCCACCAAGGAACUCAGUGAUGGAAUUACAGAUGACCCUUAUCGUUCUUUGGGUUUUUCUGCAUUUUUUUUAAUGUUAUGCAAAAAAGCAAAUGUUACUUUUAUGAGGAGAAAAUGAUUUCAAACUAAAAAAAAGUUUAUCCCAGGUUUCAGCACCAAAAACAAAAACAAAAACAAACAAAAAAGCAAAAAAAACCCCAAAACAAACAAAGUUUAAUCGACAUUUUAGCCAAAAGUAUGAAAUUGGUUGUAAGAAAAUGGAAUAAGGAAACGAGUUCUCUUGUGGUGCAGUAGGUUAAGGACCCAACAUCAUCACUGCAGUGGCUUGGGUUGCUGCUGUGGCACGGGUUCAAUCCCAGACCCUGGAACUUUCACAUGCCAUAGGCACAGCAAAGAGAAAAAAAGAAAGAAAGAGAAAGAAAGAAAGAAAGAAAGAAAGAAAGAGAAAGAAAGAAAAAAAGAAAAAAGAAAAAGAAAAAAGUGGGAAAAAGGAGAAAAUUUCAAGGAGAAGUGGCAAAAGGAAACAUAAAAUCAAUUUGUGCAUGACGGAAUCUUACAGGUGCCUUCAGGAGUCCUGACCUGCCCUUACCAAGGGAGUCUUGUAGCCUAGCCUCUGAACCAAGGCCGAACAGGUAAAGAGGAUCAUAGACACAGUUCCCACUGAAAGGAACGUCUGAUCAAGGCGGCAGCCUGAGUCACGUGUGAGCGAAAGGCAUGUCAGGCAGGAAAUGAGAGGUGAGCUGGAAACCGAACCCACCUGGGGGUGGGGAGGCAUGGGUUCUGUUCCCAGUUCUGGCACCCAGCGACCCUGGGCAAGUCAUCAACCUCACGCUCUUAUCUGUCAGAUGUAUAAUGACAGUAAUGGGGAUGCUGCGAUGAUCAGAUGAGAUAACCUAUCUGUGACCGCUCUGUGAACUCUGAGGCGUGCUAUAGGUCACCUUUCAACCUGCAACUGUGUCUCUGAUGCAAAGGAAUCUCUCCCUGUGCUGGAAAUCCAGACUCAAAGCAAGCAAGUGGAGUCCACCAUUUGGGGGCAGGGCCACCUUUGGAUGGUCCUUCAAGACCCCACCAUGCAGGCUGCAGCCUGCACAGCUCUGACAUUACGGAAUAUGAAGUCAGGAAGGGCACUCAUGCCUCAGCUCAAAGACCCACACAGCCGGUUCUCCUGUAGAGCAGUCCACCUCACGGAGAUAAAAAAGAGCAGCAGCCACUUCCUGGCCUUCUCUGAAUGUCCGAUCCUUUCCAUACUUUAACUGCCUGCUCUGGAUAAUUACUUUUCUCCUGCUUAUAAGCUUAGAGCAAUAGUAGUUCCCAAUAACUCGAGACUUAAUAAGGCUAAAUUAUAAUGAGUGUCCUGUGGAAUUACACACCACAUUAACACCAAAUGAG